CUUACCGCCUACUUUACGUAUUUCCCCCAUCUUUCUCCGCUCUCUGAUUGCUUGCGGGUUCUUCUCGAUGGCGUCGUCCUUGGCGAUGCACGCGAAGGAAGCCGGGAUCCUUUGGCUCGCGGGAUUCAAGGAAGCCUGCUCCCUCCACAGAGUCGUAAUCCUCUGCAUUAGAUCGAGGCCGCUGUUGAUCAGAACCGGUCAGUGCUUCCUCCUGAACGGGCUCAUCUUCUUGGGAAGUUUAUUUAUUCUGAAGUCUGUGGUCAUCCCAAUUCUGCUGUGGAUUCUACCUGAUCAAACUGAACAGUUUGCUGCAGAACAUCUUUCUUGCCACAAAGCUGCUUUAGCACUAUAUUCCUUCUUACGCUUCAUUCUCAUUGAGCUUUUUUACAUUUUCUGGUUCUACCCUCUUUACAUUUUCAGCUUUGUACUGAGUACACUCUGGUACAAUGAUAUUGCCAAGCAUGCUUAUGAAGUACUGACAGGUAAAAGACCUUCCGCAGCACAAUCAUCUAGAGAAAAUGAUUUGACAGGCUUGCAGACCACUAGUAAUUCAUUCACACCAGGUGGCUUUGAUAGUGUCUGUAUUGGAAUUGGUGAACAGGUUUAUUCCAUCCUUCUGCUGACCAUCUUCUUCAUAGAGGUUUUUGCAACUGGUUUCAUUCCUUAUUUUGGAAAGGCAAUAAAUUUUCUGCUUCUUUCCUGGAUGUAUGCUUACUACUGUUUCGAGUACAAGUGGAACCAUUCUAAAGUGAGCUUGAACAGAAGGCUUGACUUUUUUGAAUCCAACUGGCCAUUUUUUGCAGGAUUUGGUAGUCCAUGUGUCCUUGCAAUUUUCUUUUUCUCUCCCCUUGUCAGCUAUGGUGUUAUGGCUAUACUUUAUCCCCUGAUGGUCAUUCGAGCAAAUGGUUUUGCAGUUCGUUUUGACAGCAGCAGGCACCCACUUAGAACAAGUUGUUAAUUCGGUAAGAAGAUCAUUUAGAGGAGGGGGACCAAAAAAGCUUCAAGUAUUCUAUGCUGCAAACAAAAUUGCGAUGAUAAUAGUUCAAUUACUACCGGAGGCAAGCAAAACAAGUUGACCAUUUGAUAUGGGACAAGUUAUGUCUUUGUGCAAGUGCUUCCAAGUCUGCUGUCACUAUUGAAGAAAACAAGCUAUAUUGCAGCUGUAUAUAGAUGAAUACUAAUUGUUGGAUAUUGUUUACACUUAGAAUCACUUUAUGUAGAAAUAUCAUUAGGAGCAGAUUCAGUAAAUAUAUUCAACUUAUGUACACUCGUUGCUCA